UACGUAGGGAGCAAGCGUUGUCCGGAAUCAUUGGGCGUAAAGAGCUCGUAGGCGGUUCAGUAAGUCGGGUGUGAAAACUCUGGGCUCAACCCAGAGACGCCACCCGAUACUGCUGUGACUUGAGUACGGUAGGGGAGUGGGGAAUUCCUGGUGUAGCGGUGAAAUGCGCAGAUAUCAGGAGGAACACCAGUGGCGAAGGCGCCACUCUGGGCCGUAACUGACGCUGAGGAGCGAAAGCGUGGGUAGCAAACAGG
rnacentral:rRNA from 1 species